rnacentral:rRNA from 1 species
UGGGGAAUUUUGGACAAUGGGCGAAAGCCUGAUCCAGCAAUGCCGCGUGUGUGAAGAAGGCCUUCGGGUUGUAAAGCACUUUUGUCCGGAAAGAAAUCCUUGGCUCUAAUACAGUCGGGGGAUGACGGUACCGGAAGAAUAAGCACCGGCUAACUACGUGCCAGCAGCCGCGGUAAUACGUAGGGUGCAAGCGUUAAUCGGAAUUACUGGGCGUAAAGCGUGCGCAGGCGGUUUGCUAAGACCGAUGUGAAAUCCCCGGGCUCAACCUGGGAACUGCAUUGGUGACUGGCAGGCUAGAGUAUGGCAGAGGGGGGUAGAAUUCCACGUGUAGCAGUGAAAUGCGUAGAGAUGUGGAGGAAUACCGAUGGCGAAGGCAGCCCCCUAGGCCAAUACUGACGCUCAUGCACGAAAGCGUGGGGAGCAAACAGGAUUAGAUACCCUGGUAGUCCACACCCUAAAACGAUGUCAACUAGUUGUUGGGGAUUCAUUUCCUUAGUAACGUAGCUAACGCGUGAAGUUGACCGCCUGGGGAGUACGGUCG